UACGGGGGGGGCAAGCGUUGUUCGGAAUUACUGGGCGUAAAGGGCUCGUAGGUGGCCAACUAAGUCAGACGUGAAAUCCCUCGGCUUAACCGGGGAACUGCGUCUGAUACUGGAUGGCUGGAGAUUGGGAGAGGGAUGCGGAAUUCCAGGUGUAGCGGUGAAAUGCGUAGAUAUCUGGAGGAACACCGGUGGCGAAGGCGGCAUCCUGGACCGAUACUGACGCUGAGGAGCGAAAGCCAGGGGAGCAAACGGG
rnacentral:rRNA from 1 species